rnacentral:rRNA from 1 species
CGAAGGGGCUAGCGUUGCUCGGAAUCACUGGGCGUAAAGCGCACGUAGGCGGAUUGCUAAGUCAGGGGUGAAAUCCUGGAGCUCAACUCCAGAACUGCCUUUGAUACUGGCGACCUUGAGUCCGGGAGAGGUGAGUGGAACUGCGAGUGUAGAGGUGAAAUUCGUAGAUAUUCGCAAGAACACCAGUGGCGAAGGCGGCUCACUGGCCCGGUACUGACGCUGAGGUGCGAAAGCGUGGGAGCAAACAGGAUU